GCUUUAUGGUCUAUUAGGUGACCUGUCAAUCAGUGAGUAGCCCUGCCUUAAAGCAUCCCCUGCUGUAUGGUCUAUUAGGUGACCUGUCAAUCAGUGAGUAGCCCCGCCUUAAAGCAUCCCCUGCUGUAUGGUCUAUUAGGUGACCUGUCAAUCAGUGAGUAGCCCCGCCCUAAAGCAUCCCCUGCUGUAUGGUCUAUUAGGUGACCUGUCAAUCAGUGUGUAGCCCCGCCCUAAAGCAUCCCCUGCUGUAUGGUCUGUUUCACUGAAAAUGGACCAUAAUUUACUGAGCAAAUUUUACGGUUUGAUAGAAAACACUUCCGGUUGGAUAUACGAAGGUGCCCUUGGGCAAGGCAGCACGAAGCUUCCCUUGUUCCCCGCUCUGUGCAUGUCUAUUUCAGGCUUUAAAGAAAAACUAAAUCCCCCCUGAAGGGAUUAAAACGUUUCCUCCUCCUCCUCCUCGUUCACCUCCGCCUCCUCCUCCUCCUCUUCCUCCUCUUUCUCUACUUCUUCGGGCUCUUGUUGCAUUCACGACCGCCUCCAGAGACAAAACGUGACUUUGCUGCUCUGAUAAACAGACCACAGUGAGGCGACACGCGACAGACGGGAAAUAACAGGUCCACGUGGAACACGCCGUCUGCCCGGUGGCGCCCGGGCUGCCGGCGUGUUCCACGUGCGACGUUCAAACCCUCACCGAGCCAACUCAGACAUCCGGGAGACGAGCGCUUCCUCCGCGGGGGGGGGAAGGAAUCCAUGACGGCUUCAGAUUCCUUCAAUGUGACUUUGAGUCCUCUCAGUCACACCUGUGCGAGCAGAUGCUGUCAGGGCACGAAGAUGGCGUGAGUGGCUGUCACAGCGUGAGCUCAAAUAUUCUCAUUUGACAGUGGCGGGAGGCAAUCAUCCCUCACACACACACAGACACACACACACACACACACACACACACAGCCACACACACAGACAGACACACACAGACACACACACACGUGGCAGUAAUCUCUGCGCUGACAUGACCGCUUCAAUCUGCCUCUUGGCCCUCGGGCCUCCGCAGCAGAGCUGAUUCAAUUUGCCACCCAUCAAAAUGCAAUUUUUCAGCUUCGCCAUCCCCGCUCUCCUCCUCCUCCUCCUCCUCC
ensembl:lncRNA